rnacentral:rRNA from 1 species
UACAGAGGUGGCAAGCGUUGUUCGGAAUUACUGGGCGUAAAGGGCGCGUAGGCGGCCUUCUAAGUCAGACGUGAAAUCCCCCGGCUUAACCUGGGAACUGCGUCUGAUACUGGGAGGCUAGAGUGCGGGAGAGGGAUGCGGAAUUCCAGGUGUAGCGGUGAAAUGCGUAGAUAUUGGAAGGAACGCCGGAGGCGAAAGCGGCGCACUGGACCUCUUCUGACGCUGAGGCGCGAAAGCUAGGGGAGCAAACGGG